AUGGAAACACCGCCGCCGCCGGCGCUCCUGGACGAGCUCGUCGAAGAGAUCCUCCUCCGCCUCCCGCCCGAAGACCCCGCGUGCCUCCUCCGCGCCUCCGUCGUCUGCAAGGCCUGGAGCGGCAUCGUCUCCCGCCCCGGAUUUCGACGCCGCCUCCACGAGAUCCACGGCGUACCCCCCGUGCUCGGCUUCCUCCACAACUGGAAGGACGAUUUCAUCCCCCGAUUCAUCUCCACCACUGCAUCGUCCUUCUCCCUCGCCGCCCCGGACCGCCGCGCCUGGCGGGCCCUCGACUGCCGCCACGGACGCGCCCUCUUCUUCCCCCAGGGAUUUGGUGGUCUGGAGCUGCUCCUGUGGGAGCCAAUGACGGGUGCCCAGCAGCGCAUACCGGUGCCCGCGGCGUUCAAGUGCGACUACCCGACCGCGGCCGUGUUGUGCGCAGCGGACGGGUGCGACCACCGCGACUGCCUCGGGGGUCCUUUCCGCGUCGUCUUCCUCUUCGUCGUCGUGGUAGAUGAGGAGACCAGCAUAUGCUCGUCCAGCAUAUACUCGUCCGAGACUGGCGCUUGGGGGGAGCUGACCUCGGUUCAGUGCACCCUCGACUUCUCCAUUGAAUUCACAGAAAGCUACAGCGCGCUCGUCGACAGAUCUGUGCUCUACUUCACGUCCGACGGCGACGCAAGCUGUGCGUCCGUCGUGGAGUAUGACUUGGCAAGCCACAACCUGACUGUGUUCGGCCUACCGGACAGAGACUACGGCCAUGCAUAUAGCCUCGUGCUGGUGGAGGACGGUGGAAUCGGAGUAAUCCAAUACUUGGAUACGCAGCUCAAAUUGUGGACAAGAGAGGCCAGUGCUGAAGCAGGAUGGGUGCUGAACCGGGUCAUGUGCUUGGAAAAUUCCCUCCCAAUGAAUGCUCUCUUACAUGCAGUGCAAGUGCUGGGCUUUGCUGAGGAAGCAAAUGUCAUUUUUGUUAACACGGUUGUCGGCAUCUAUACAAUAGAGCUACGAUCGGGGCAUGUGAGGGAGGUGUGCAGUGAUACUGAUCGAGGCUUCUGUAGUUUGAUCCCAGUUGUCAGCUUCUACACACCUGUACCCCGAGGCAAGCACCAGAAUCUGCCGCCGUCGAAGCCUAGUGGGGAAGCAGGUGGCGAGGAGGAAAAAACAGUGGAUCAGGCACAACAAUUGUUGAACAAGGGGUCCAAUGCUACCAAGGAAGUUGACUUUAUCAACACCUUCGAAUACGUCAGCCAUGACCUCGAGAUCAGGCUUCCGUGUUAUGGAGAAGGUGCUCUGGAGGGUGCUGGCACGCUCAACAAACCUGGAUGUGCCUUGCUACCCAAAGAUUCUUCAGGAGAGAUGAUGCCGGGAACUCGACGACCUCUGAAAGCAAUGUUGAGGAUGCUCCACCUUUGGAGAAAGAUUGCUGUCCGCAAGUCAACAUGUCCUCUUUCGCUUGUUCUUCAGAGCAACAGCAAGAGGAAGAGGAGUGGAAACGUCAAUAUAAAGAAAAGUGAAGAAGAAUUCAUAAUGACUGGAUUUAAAUGGUUUCAGAAAAUGCAGGCUAGCCAAAAUGAACUUGAGCACAUUGACCCAGGUGUUGUUGCUAUGAUGAUUUUCGGAGGGCUCGGCAUGUCGAAGAAGUGA
rnacentral:rRNA from 1 species